GGACACACAGAGUCUCACACUCGCCAAACAGCAUGGGGAGCAGAGAAACUGUCACACCACAAAGCAUACACCCCCACCACCCAAGGCACUCACACAGGACCGGGAGGCAACGGCGGAGUCCCUCUAGCUUCCAUGAUCGGCGACGCCAAGGCCCCAUGGGACUUUCCAGUAUGUGCCCUGCAAGUGCCGACUACAGGAGUAGGC